UGGACGGAGGAAGUCAUUUUUUAGAAGUCGAAAUUUCAGUGCAUACAUCAUUUUCAAUAAACAAACCCAUACCCCAACCCAAAAUUUGAAAAGCCUAACAUAGCCAAGGAAAAAAAAAACAAAACAAACCAAGCCCAAGCAAAAAGUAAAUAGAAACGGGUCGAACGGCCUAAUAUGGCCCAAUGAAAAGAAAAAAAGUAGGAAAAAAAUAGAGGAAAAGUGGGCCAAACGGCCGAAGAAAAAAAGAUAGGAAAUUCUGACUUUUUUUUUCAAACAUACACCUUUCCCUUUCUUUUUCUUUUCCCUCUUCUUCUUCUUCACCCAUCUUUUUCCCGAAAACACUAACCCAUAAAGCCACCGCCGUUCACCCCUUCACCAUCGUUGACCUCUUUGUUAUACCUCAACACCAUUGACGACGGUACCAUCGUCAGUUAAAUACGCCCCAAAAACACAACCACUCGCCAUCUACGUCAUUGUCACCUUCUCCACCUCCCCUCCAUCGAACAUCGCCCUUCGCAAGCUAAGUCCACCGUUUUCCCAUCGCCAUUCACACCACCACCAUCGAGCCUACAUCAACUACCACCACAUCCUCUAAGCCACCAUACAUUCUUCCCAAAACCUCCCCCUUCUUCACAAGAAUGCCACCACCGUUUGAACCACCCCCUCCAACGUUAAAGAACCGACAAAACCCCCUACACAAGACUAUCGAAGUCGUUCACCGCCAAACACUGCCAUCCGUCAUCGUUAGCCACCACUAAAUAGUCAUCACUGGUUGAUUUUGAGCCUGCAAAAAGAUAGAGACCAUGGUUUGUACUAGACAAUAGUCAGUCGACGUUUUUAUGACUUCUCUAAACCAAGGUCGAAAACAAUUUUCGGCACCACUAGUCGUCUACCUUGACGACGAAGAUCUAGAACCACCAUCACCACCAAUACAUGUUGCUAGACCGAGUCGACAUCAACAUCGAAGAAGCCUGACACCAGUUUAGAUGGAAAGUUCACACGUUCAUUUUGACGCUUCUAAUGACAUAAGGUAUAACAUUCCAAACUCACAGCCUAUUUUACCGUUAUUAAUGUUUCCUAUAGGUCAUUUAGAUGGAGCUAGCACUAUAGAUCACAAUGACGCUACGCCACCAGACCAAAGUGAGCAACCAACUCCACGACAAACAAGGUCAACCACUGUUCAUGCUCAAUGUACACAACCAUACCAACAUAAUGAAGAGUUAGAGUCAACACCGAACAGCGGCACUGAAGCUGCCGAUAUACCAAGUCCGCCGCACAGUCUAGUCAAAAAUUGAGUACCAACCUCCUCAAAAUAAUAGGCGCGUUCAAUGGGGCUGAACCUAUACAAUGCCGCCAGAACAGAGACUUUGAGGGUUUCUAAAUUUCACGACAUCAGAACACCAAACAAGAUACAAGGAAAUUCAAAAUCGUCCAAUUCCAAUCUGUAGACGAACCUCUUGAAGCAAUAAAUUCUUUCGAUGAAGAUGCGAUCCAGCUACUAGAGAACAAUAGGAGCAGCCUCCUUUCACUGUGGAUGAACAACUUCAUCGCAUUGAAGCUCGCCUCAAAACAAUGGAAGCCAACAUCUCAAGCAUCCUCACCAUGCUCCAAAGUAGUCACUUCCACCAUCCUCUGACCCAUUAAAUAUACACGGGAGUACACUUUACCUCAACUAUUUUUAUUCUUUUUGCACAUUGUGGGCAAUGCGGGCUAAGUGAGAGGGACAUUCCAUGCUAUUUCUUCUUUGCAUGUGUUCAUUCACUAAGAUAAUUCCUCAAUUCAUUUCGAAAAUGAACCUCUAAUUCUUAUGCUAAGUUUGUUUAAAUAAUUGGGUGAAUCAUGAACAACUAUUGCUUACUUGGUCAAAAAAUAUUUUGUAGAAUUGAAAA